rnacentral:lncRNA from 1 species
UUGUGGAUGUAUGACUGCAGCAGCAUAGCAUGUGAUCUGGAUGGUCAUGUCAGGCUCCACCGUCGCCGUUACUAGACGGACCAAAUGAGGCCAAAAACUAGCCUUUCCUCGCUCCUUUCCUGGGAAGUGAAAUAGCAGGUGAUCAUGUAAGAAUGAACUUGCAACAUGUGGGCAGUGGCCAAAGCGCCCUACAGGUCAUGCUGGUGGUGGAAUGAUAAGACAAACCGCAAUAUUUAUUUGUUUACUUAUUCACUUAAUAUUUAUUUAUUCAUAUCUCAUGAAUACUGUGCAGUUUUUCAGCAAGGGAUCAGGUAAAAUAAAGAAAUAUUGUUGCAUCAAAGUAAAUGUUAUUUGAAGAAGCAUAAGUCACGUAGCACAGUACCAUGAUAAAACAUUUUUAGACAACUAGUCUGCUUUUGAUACGAAUUCAUAAAAACUAAAUUUUGAAGAAACAGAGCAGUAAGGUUAACAAAUCUUAUAUAACUAAAAAAUGAGAUCACAUUUCUGUUGUACCUAAUACCAUAAUUUAAUCUGUCAAAUUAGAGAUACCAUAUGCUGCUCUAAUAUACAAUCAUUAAUUUAUGAGUAGAUGCGCGAAACUCUCAAACAUUGCAACAAUUUCAUGUAAACUGUAAAUUCAUAUAUACAGCUUGUUGACUUUAGACAUAGCAGAUGGAGUCUGCAGAACUAUGAUAUCUCUUUCUGGCACAGAGACGGGGAUUAGUAAGCUUCGUGGUGUUAUUUUUCCUAAAGCUGCCAAAUAGUUCUUCCUGCAACAAGUAGAAUUCUCAAAUGCCACAAACUUAAUUCAAAUUAGUGCUGUGGUUGUCUCAAAAGUAUUUCUGUAUUUUGGAUGUAUUUGAGUAGGAAAAUUUACAGAAUUGACUAACUUGUGCUUGUUCUUUUUUUUUAUUUACAGUUGCAAACUAAGUCCUUUUCCUUCAAGUUUUGCUAUUUUCAGCAAAUUUUAAUAAGAAUUGAUGGUGUUAAUCUAAAAACUAUAAUUUAAACAUUUUUAAAUGUAUCAAACCUCAUCAAAUUUGGUUGCAUAGUUGCCGAGAAAAACUAUUUUACUGUUCAUGUGCAUUACAUAGGAGCUCCUGAGCUAAAUCUCUUUUUUAGUCAUUGCGUGUGUCGGUCUGGUUUGUAUUUCUCACCCUAAUUAGAAUGUUGGCUCUGAUCACAAGAUUGUUUCCCUUACAACGAAAUACAAGCUUUUAAACUUUUUACGAUAUAUGCUGCACUGCUCUAUGAUAACCACUGUUUGCCACAUUUUUGCAGGGCCUGCCAGUGCUAGUUUUACACAUAAACAUAGACUAAAAUGCUGUGUGGUUUCGGAAUAUGGUGUACUUUUCUGUGAAAGCCAUUAUCUGCCACAUUUUUGCAGCGACUGCCAGUGUUAUUUUUGCACAGACUAAAAUGCUGUGUCGUUUCGUCAGGCUGACACAACAUUGCAGUGCACAUUCAUAUCAGUGUAUUUUCAGGCUUUAGUAUCCCAACAUUUAAUGUGCACUGCUGGAACAGGCACUCCUUUUGCAGUUUUAAUCGUAUGGUUUAUUGUCCUAGUCAAGCCUGUUAUUGCAAGGUUUCAACUGUAAUCAAGUCUGCCACUGAUUCUUUUACCUCGUGUUUCGCGUGUUUGCACCACCAGCUUGACCUGAGAAGCAUGUUGGCAGCUACAGUUUGUGUGUUGCAAGUUCUAGUCUGAAGCGUGUAUGUCACAUAUAUGAAGCAUGUAUCUAGUCUGAAGUGCAAUAAACAUUUCAAACUGAAUA